AAUAUCCUAUCCCAAAUAUAUGUGCCAGUUCAACAUAAUACAAGUAACUAAUCACUACACAUCACAAGCUUAACAACUAAGUAAGAAUCUAAUCUAGUGGUGGCUUUGAUACGUUGCUGCUAUGUGAGGAUGUACUCUUAACAAUAUGAUCUAUAUGGUUUCUACAUAAAUGUAGGUAACAAUGAUCAAUAAACUAGCAACAUUGUCUUGUUUUUUUAUUGCAACUCAAACAAAAUCCACCAAGGCAAAGGUUCCGAGUGUGUGGUACUACUAUUUUCCUUCAUCCUAAAUAUCGGGUUACAUAUUCUAAAGUUACACCUUCCAUGGAGAAGUGGGCAUAGCCACAUGUUAACUAUAGUUAAUAUAUUUAUCUAUGCAUCCGAGUUCAAAUUCCCUUCUCAGCACUUAGAUUAGUUUUAAGUAAAAUGUCCCUUAUAA
rnacentral:lncRNA from 1 species